UUCUGCUACAACUUGAGCACAACGUUGCAUUUUCCUAUUCUAUAUUCAUAUGUUCCCAAGUAGCCAUAUAGUAGCCUUUUCAGUUACACUAUGACUGUAACCAGGGGCGCAGAUGGCGGGGGGGACGGGGGGGUACGUCCCCCCCAGUUUCAUAGGGACCCCUAUCCGUCCCCCCAGAUUGGGGUAGUUGUAUAAGCUUAAAAGUUGAGACCAUUCUUUUGCUCACAGUUUGGUCCCCCCCACUUCAAAAAUCUCUCCUGCGCCCCUGACUGUAAGCUUUCUAAAGUAUUGGGAUGUGCUUUCUACUGUAUUGUCCCUUGUGGUAAAAACCUUGCUAAAUUUAAGUGUCACAUACUGCUUUGGUGUAGUAGUGAGACAAAACUUUUUUCUAGCAGUGUUUUCAUUCUGUGACCCAGUCUGUGUACACUUAUCCUGUGGUCUUGACCUCAUCAUCGGAUGUUACACUCUAUGUUCCUUUAGUUCCCCUUUGAAACCAUUUCACCCUCACUGAAUGCUUAGAAGCAGUGAACCGAUAAUAUUAACCGCAGUCUGUUAAUAAUUCAUCCUCAUUUACACUAUUCUACAUCAUGCAGUAUGUAUAAUGGCAGUGUCAAAAAAGCAUUUGGCGUAUCUCAGCAAAGUUUUCUCAUUAGGUCAUGACUCCGAAGGUCCCAGCUUUUGUACCUUCCCCAUUUGUUGUGACAUUGAGUUAUUUUUGCUAGUUUGCAGCAGCUGGGUGUUUCGUUCUUUGUGGCUGGUUUGCGGUGGAGCUGCGGCGCUCCCAUACCAUUCAGACCGCAGGGGAGAGCUUAACCCUGCGUAAGCAAUUUUUGGAGCUUGCUUUAUUUCCUGGCACGUUCAGGCUGGUUUACGGAGGCUGGCGACUCUGUUCGAGGUUCAAGCCGUGGUAACUUGGCCUAUCCACCUACAGGUGGUGACUGAGAGUGGACAGAGGACAUGGGCCUUCACAGGAAAAUACAGGUUCUUCUGCUUUCUCACAGAAAAGACUUCCAACUUGGCAGUUGCAGUUGUGAGUUAUACUGCUGUAUCAGACUAACACAUUACAUGAUAUCUACAGUUUGUACAAAAUGCGGUAUUAUUACAUUGCAAAAAGGUUUAUACAGUCACUGACUUAACAGUAAAUGAACUGAUACCGAAGGGAGAUUUCUGAAUGAGAAUGCUAGAGAUGACCUGUUUCAGAGGCCAUGCAUUGGCUGAGGAGGUUUAAGACAGGGAAUGAAACAGUAUUCAUCAACUUAUGUAUUUUUUGUGGUGAUCACUGUGUAUAUAUGGUGAUAUAAUGUUGAUUUUGAGAAAAAAUCAGUAACAAUAUGUUUUUAUCAAUAUUUGUUUCCUUCCAAUGUUUUCUGGCGUAUAUUAGCUUCAUGUGAACUGAAGAUGUUUAGUAAAUAUUUCUCUCAUCAUGUUAACCAGGCACAUCCUGUAAGGUUUGCAAUGCAAAUGUGGUGGAUUAUAUUUUUAGUGUCUCAAGUAAAUUAAAUCCAGCAUUUAAGGACCUGUAUAGCCUCAUUCUUCUCACGUAACAUAAAUAAACACAUAAAUUAUUUUUUAUUAAAUCAUUUGUUUACUUACCAGAAGCCAUGUACAAUAGAAGAAAAAAAAAACAGUUUUCACUUUCACUUGACCAAAAUAAGAUUUACUUGGCUUUCUCAAAUAUUCUUGAGCUGUUCACAGCAGAAUUGCUGUAAUUUUAUCCACUUAAAUGUACUACAACACAUUUAAAAACCCGGUUUAAACCAAUGGAGGUUGCUAUGAGCACAUAAACAUUGACAGGCUGUCUUUGUGCCAGUAAUUAGUAGUUUUUUCCAGUUGAGGACAAAAGAUAUGUGUAGGCAGGCACAGUCUACAUGGCACAGAGUUAGUUGCACUGCAGAGCAGGGAUAUUUUCCUUCAGAGUUUGUUUUAAGGAAUCCUGGGUAGUGGGCUCACUGAUCACAGUUACUGCUUGUGUUAAGACAGGCCAGCUCAGGUUUCCUGUGGUGGGGGCACCCUGCCUGUUCUUGGUUUGUGGUGGUUAGCGAAUGACUGAGGAGAGGUCACAGGGAAGGCAUAAAAUGUGGGUGUUUAAAAUGUCAGCCUGAUAGAAAUGCCCUCAAUGGUUUUUAACUGAAUUAUGGCCAAGGCUAUUGAUUGUAUUGUUGGAAUUGGUGAUGUAGUGGUGAAAAAGAGAUGUGCAAGUCUAACCGGAAUAAAUUUUGUGGACACUAAGAGCAAAAGGUUUUUUCGGGAGCUCUCUGUGGUUCUUUGUGAGUUAUUUGUAGCCACUUAGCUAAUCAUAAACACUUUUAAAUACAAAAAAUAAGCAUAAUGCUUUUAGGAUUUCAACAUGCAUUGCCAAAGAAAGCUUGAUGACUUUUAUGGUGUGCUGAUGCUAAGCCAUGUUUCAUUGCAGUUAAUUUCAUGCAGCAGUUCAUUGCAAUCAUAUUUUAGUUGGAUAAUUCAUACAUUAGGGGUUUACUGUAGAAAUAUAAAUUGGAAAGAAUAAUUACCAUUGUAGCUUUUAGUCAUAUUGUCCAUUGUUUAACCUCCAGAAUUUUUUAAGGCCUUCUUUGAAACUCUGAUGCUCAACUCUGAUGUUCUAUUCAGGAAAGAAAUGAGUCAGUCUUUACAAACGGUAUGACCUUUGUUGGUUUACUAGCAUUAUUGUGGAUUAUGUAUUAAUUGAAGGAUUUAUAAAAGUAUAACAGUUGGAAAAAGUUUUAUAUUAUGGAAGCCAGCUUUUAAUGUUUUGAUGUGAAACUCUCAAACUGCCACUAAUUCCAAGGCUUCCUGAUAUUUUUCAUUACAGGUCCCACGAAUUAUACUCCAUCACAUAUUUUUCUGGUUCACUUGCUUUUGUACUUACAAAAAUCAGUGUGAUGUAUUUAGCUCAACGUCAGUGUUUGUAAAGAGCACAUAUCUGGGCAAAGUCGUACAUUAGUUUCAUUUUGAAUCCUUACCGCUCAUCUGAAACCUUAACUGGCCUUGCAGCUGUGUCCUGUCCUUGAAAAAAUACAAGAAAUGGAAUUUCCCAAUAUGAGUGAAAGUGAAAGUCAAGAUGCAAAGACUAGAAUAUCAGAUUAUAUAGUAUAGUAUAGUAUAGUAUAGCACAAAAUGUUUAGAUAACCCCUAAUAAAUGAUGAUCUCUUACUAUAUUUGGGACAGCAUAACCAGUGAAAUUUGGAAAAUCAAGUUUCAAGCCUUUUAAUGUGUAGAAUUAUACAAGCACAGUGUAGAAAAAAACCGUUAGAUUUCCAAAUUUCCUGUUUGUUUCUGUCAUGGUAAACGUUUAUUUCUGUUUUUUAGUUCCAGGCUUUUUCUACUUUUGUUUUUGUGUCAGACUGAAAAUGAAGAGAUGACAAUAAAUAAAUAACUACAGUGACAAUAAUAGCAAUAUUUAUGGCUUGAAAUGGUUAGCUAACAAGAUUAAAGAGGUUUGCAGUAAAGGUGUAUGAACCCACUGAUUGAUAUGAUGAAUUUCCAACUUGAAUCUGAGAUAAAAAAUAUAUAAAAGUGUAAUGUGUCAUUCAGUGGUUCACAGUCUGGGGUAAUGAAGCAGAAGUUACAGUCAAAUGUGUUGAUCAGAACACCUGCACAGACAUUGUCUUUCAGUGAUGGCAUCUUCUCACAUAUGCUGACUCUACUGGCAAUGUAGAUGGGUGUGCCCUGUGUGAAUGAAAAACACUUCAUGCAUGUACCUCUGUGACAGAUACAGUAGUUUUAUUCAUUUAUUUCCUGGUAAUCUGCUGGAUGGCAGAGAUCUCAUACUGUGUGUUGUCAUGUGAGCCUAUGAUGAUGUUGGCCAUCUCCCAACUCAGACUGCACCUCAGCUCCUCCUGCAAGCCUUCUCUAGAAUUUUAACCUAGCCUUAACAACAAAUUUGCUGUCAGCCAUUUUUGGUUCACACCCUGCGGUUCCUUGCUCUUGUUUAUAUAAUUAGGAUUGCAAUGGCAGGUAUGCCAUUCUGCAGAGUUACGACUUGGUGCCUCAUUUCUAAAUUAAUGUUAGCUAUCCCUAUAGAUCCUCUACCGACAUACAAAUGAUUAGUAGGUCUGUCUAGUACAAUAAUUAAAAACACUUACAUUUAAAAUCAUGACAUAUACUUUCAUUUAUUUUUGGUAAAGGAAAAAUAAUUGAAUCCAUGCCUGUGUGUUUCUUACAGAAUGCAGGCUAUUUGCUUGCAUUCAUGUUUUUGCAUGUUUGGCAUAGCCUACAUUUAUAUAUGAAUUACUGUAAUCACUUACUCAUAAUAAAACACAGUACAAAAUGAAAUGAUAUCUAAUUUAAAAAAAACACACAUUUAAAACAUACAAAAAUGCCAAGUUACGAACAUAUAGCCUACAAAGCACUAUAUAAGCUCUAUAAGUCAUUCAUUCAGAUCUAGGCCUGCCAUUAAAAGUAUUGAUAUGAAAAUUGCACCGAGUUACAUUAAACAAUAUUUGCUAUCUUAGCUCACAGAAAUUAAACAAGGUGUAUUCCAAAGCAUUGCAACCCAACGUUUCCUAAAUUGUUUCAAGUAACUGUUUAAUACUCAAUAGAUUCUGUUUAAUACUCAAUAGGAUACUUUUGUUUUUGUUUUAAUAUCUUAAUUAAAUUUAGUUUUCAAUAAACUAGAGGACUAGACAUUUCCUCUCUAGGGAAUUACUGCACAGAGAUCCCUGAUUUUUGCACUUGUGUUUGCAUGGUAAGUAACACUGGAUAGGAGAAUCAGCUAAAUGGUGGUGAAAAGUAAAGUAACCUUCAUACCGUGCCUCAAGGAUAACCCACAAAUUUGCACACUGCUAUGCUAAAUUCAGGCCUAAAUUUGCAAACUGCUACACUGGACUCAAAAACACAACAUAAAGCUCAGCAUUGUGGAAAGUGUGUACUUUGUGGUCAGAACAUCAAGAAGCUUCAUGAAACAGCCCUUCAAACUGAGGCUAAUCAAUAAUCUCUUCAAAGUGGCUUCAAAAUUUCACCAUCUAUUCCUGCCUGCAUUUCAUAUGAGGGCCAUGGGCCUCUGGGUCCCUGACGGGGGAUCUGAAACGCUGGGGCGAUGGAGAGCGCAGCGAGACACACGCCCCAUUACUCAGCGUCGCCCCCUGGAGCUGCCGGAGUGUAUGGACCCAGCAGGGUGACAAAGACUCUUUCUUCUCCUCUGGCUGUGUGGGCUACAUGACUCCCACUCUCUGCAGAGGGUGUGCAGAAGGCCGAGUAGCCGAGAGACUGGCACAGCAAGGGAGGAAGGGCUAGAGUAUGGGGAUACAGUACAUACCCCUGACUCUACAGGGGGAACAGCCAGAUAUCUUUCAUCCCCAGGUACGACUUCAUUUCCAUUUCACACUGUAGCUGUUAAGUGGUAAAGUACAGUCUCAUCUUUCAAAAGUGCAAAACUUCAAAAACUUUCUACCGGCCAAAUGGAGCUAUUAUAAGUGGGAAUUUAAUUAAAGGCAGUACCCAUGAUUCAUAGCUGAUUGAACCAACUAAGUAAAUGUGGACAGGCUUUCAGGAAGUGAGGCAUAUCAUAGGUGCACUUCACUGUUGAGCAGAACAGGUAAGUCGCUAAGUGUAUGGACUCCAAUUGGAUUAUGAAAUGUCAAAUUGGAUUUUUUCAAAAAGCAACUUAAUAUAAUCUAAUUGUUUGAGUAUUGAGUGGAGUAUUAUAUUUCACAGCGACUGGCCUUACCGUAAGCAAGAUAAUGCUAAUAUAUUUUCAUCUUGGCCAUGUGUACAAGCCUGUGACCACAAACCAACACGACGGGAUGAAGUCAACUUAACACCAUUUAACUCAACAGGGAAAAGGCGACGGGGCUAAUGCAGACUUUAGAUUGAUCAUUUCCAGGGAUCUCCUUCUUGGAUCUUCUGGAGCCUCAUAUUACCGGAUGCUGUUUGGUUCACUUGGGGUGGUGGGGACACCCAAGAUGAGAGACAUUGCUCUUUUUCCAACCGCGCACCACCACACAUUCCAGAAGUUUUUGGGAUGGCCUAGGAAGGAGAGCAGGUACGCUGGUGGUAAUGGGACACCUGCACCUUUUCUUGAGAGCUAAUCCUGUUUUUUUUUUGUUUUUUUUGCUGGCCCCAACAGGUGUUCCUGGGCGGAGCCACAUGUCGAGCCUGUUUCCUGGCGACAGAACAGGAUGCAUAUUGUGGGAGGGAGGAAAUGCCUGAGCCUGGUGGACACAGAGGAGUUUGGAACAGUCUGUUAUGCCACUGAGAUCACCAGUGUUCCACCCACACCCACACAAGGAUCACUGCAUCUGGAGCCUCUGCACUCCGCCCAUGCAACUGCGCAGACAGUACUGUCCAGGGAAAAUGCACUGCAGACAAGCCAGUUGUGUUCAGUUUGCUGCUGACUAAGGCUGAGCCUCAAGUCUGUGAUUUCUGAGCUAUAGGUACAUACACUGAGCACCUUUACAGACUGCACCGCUCAUGAGUGCUUGCAAUUUUUCUACGUUUUGUUGAAUACUGAGGACCUCAUUGAAUGUGCGAAUGAAUAGUGUUCUGUUUACAAGUGUCAGCUGAACUUGUGGUUUCCUGUCUCUAUGUAUCUGCAGUUUUUUUUUCCCAGUGCCCUAAUGUGGGUUCAUGUCUGUUUUACUUAUUCAAGUCAGUUAUAUCCCUAGGCUGUUGACGCAACUAUACUGGAUUUCACAAACAGCACACAAUUCACAAUGAAAAACUUUUGAAUUACAAAUGGAGGCCAGAAUAAAGUUGUAAAUGUUUUAAUGUCUUAAAGUGUAAAUGUUUUAAUGUUUAAUGUAUGAACAAAAAGUAAAACUGGUUCUUGCUGCUUAUCAUGAUGAUUUCCAAUAAAAUACAUCCUGUUUUCUUAU